AUGCGCACGCGGUUAGGACUUUUUUAACGGAGGCGCUACAGCAAAUUGGGGCUACAACUAUUUUCUUAUUUUGAAGAAGUGCUUUUACUACCUAUUAGGCAUCUAAGUAUAAGGUGACACUUUCCUGAUGAGAAGGGAGCACCUGAGUUAGGUUGUAAAGGGUUCCUUUUCCUGUUCUUUCUCGGAGCUCAAACCAUACCCAGGUAAAAAUGUGGGAUUACAGCACGCAUAAGGCUGACGGUUAACCAGAUUACAAACUGAAUGGUAGUUUGUUUAGAUAUGCAAGUUCCUAGGGAAGCUGCUGUACACUUACAAUGUGUUUUGGUAUAGUAAAGUUUUAACUUAGGUACUCCCUAUCCAUGUAGUGUGGGUGCGCAUAGGACACUCAUUUAGGACUCCCCACACCCCCGCCCCGACUAGAUUUGCCAUAGGGCUAACGUGAGCAAAAUGUAAGGCAACAUUUUACACUAACACUGGACAAGGAAUACUUUUUCCUGGGAGCAAAACUUUGCAGCAAUGUCAACAUAAUAACAGGAAAGUUGAUAUUACUUGAAUUCCCAACCUCAGGUGAUCCGCCCGCCUUAGCCUCCAAAGGGCUUGGAUUACAGGCGUGAGUCACCACGCCCCGCCGGCGAGUUAAUAUUACUAAAAUAACAACAAGGCUUAAGAGUUCGCUUAAGAUUUUGGUUUACAUUUGCUUAUCCAGCGGCAUUUCCUUAAGCUCUGGCCGUGUGUUGACUAGUCAGCUUCCGGUUGUGUGACUAGAGCAGGACUCCACGGUUUUUCAGGGUUGUCUGCAUCUGGGACCGGACCGGGCUGGUUCUGGUCCUUGCUGAUGAUGCAUUUCAAGGCCCCUGGAUGAAGGGUACCAUGAAAACCAUUUUCCGAAGAGGGAGUCUGAUGACUACGCUUUUCAACUGUCCAGAAUCAAGACAUCGAAUUCAGGGGUACAUGUGCUAGUGAUACGUUUAAAGUGGAUUCAUCCUGGAACUCCCAUCUCACUACUCAGAUGGGAACUUGAAAGUGACACAGAGAGAAAUGCAAGUGGCAACAGGAUCCAGAAACCAAGAGACUCAUGGGAUAGAGGCAGCGGGUGGAAGCAGGAGACAGCAGAAGCCAAGACAAGUAGGAAAAGAAGGACAUUGAAGGGAGCCAGAAGGGGUCAUCUGAGAGAUGUCAAGAGUGGCAGCAGAAACAGACAGGGGCCUCCUGUGCCAAUGCCUUCUCUUAAGAGAUCAAGAUCAUGGCAUCUGUAGACUGAGAACAAAGUGUGAGGCUUGGAACUAAGUCCAUUCAAACUCUGCAUUUCUUUGUUAUGUCCCUUUCGACAGUAAUUUCCAUUUAGUUCCUCACAUCUCUUUCAUCAUGAGUUUCCAUUAGAGUCUAAUUGCAUCAAACUCUCUAAAACACUUUAACCAACAGAUCUAAUAUUUGCCAGCUUUGUGAUCUUGGGUAAGUCACAUAUCCUCCAUGAACAUCAGUUGUCUUAUCUCUAUGCGUGAUCCGCAAAAUAAUAGCCCUAAACAUGUUCGUAUUCUAAUUCUCAGAAUUUGAGACCUUACAUGUUACCUUACAUGGCAAAAGGGAUUUUUGCAGAUCUGAUUAAGUUACGAACCUUGAGAUGGGGUCCUCUAUUACAUAUGUGGGCCCAGUCUAAUCAUAUGGGUUCUUAAAAUCAGGGAGAAUUUUUCCCAGCUGUGGUCAAGGGGAGUUGUGACGAGGGAAGAAUGGUCAGAGAGACGCAGCACUGCUGGCUUUGAAGAUAGAGGAAGGGGCCAUGAACCAAGGAAUGCGGAUGGCCUCUAGAAGCAGGAAAAGGCAAGGAAGCAGAUUCUUCCCAACCCAGAGAGGAGGAACACAGCCCUGCCAACAUCCUAGCUUUAGCCCAGUGAAACCUGUGUUUUACCCUAUAGAACUGUAAUAUAUCAGAUUUGUGUUGUUUUAAGCUGUUAAAUUUGCAGUAACUUGUUAUAGCAGCAAUAGAAAACUAAGACACUCUGAUGGCUAACACUGCGUAUUAUGAGAAAGUGUCUAAAAGAAUAUAUUCUCCAACGUAACACUGGUUUUGUCAUCUUUUCGAAGUAUUUAUUUUUUCUGGUUUCAACAAUGACCGUAUGUUAUUUGUGUAAUACAGAAACUAUGGGAAUAUUAAUGAGUAAGUAAUAGAUACUGAAUUAAGUUAGAUGACCUCUAAGGCCCCACCUAACUGUGGCAUUAUCUGAGCAAUCCAGCGGGAGGCUUAAUUGCCAAUCCAUAUCCUGUUUCUUCUCAGAUGCCAUAGACAGGUCUUAACUCCUCCACAAAGGGACCGGAAAGAGCAGUUUCACAUCACUCCUGGUGUCUUAUUUUCCACGUCUCAGAUACAAAUCUGUGUUCACCUGUAUAUAAUAUCAGUGUGUUUCUACAUUUUUAUGUGUCCUUUUAUUUACUUAUUUUUUUACAAAUUAUAAUCAGAUAUAAUUAUGGAUGCACAGUGAUGUUAUAUGUAUACAACAUGGAAUGAGGGAAUCAAGCUAAUUAACAUGUCAUCCCCUUAAGUACUUGUCAUUUACUCCUCCUGUCUAACUCUUAACUUUCUACCCCUUCACCGCCACCUCCCCAUUCCCUGACCCGCAGCUCUGGUAACCAUCAUUUUAUUCUCUGUUAGUUAAAUUAUUCUAGAUUUCACGUAUGAGUGAGAGCAUGCAGUAUUUGUCUUUCUGUGCCUGGCUUACUUCCCUUAGCAUAGUGUCUUCUUCCAUGGUCAUCCCCAUUAUUGCAAAUUAUAGGAUUUCUUUCUUUUUAAAGGCUAACUAGUAUUCCGUUGUGUGUAUAUACCACAUUUUCUUUAUCUAUUCAUGCGCUGAUGGACACAUAGGAAAUUUUCACAUUUUAGCUAUUAUAAACAGAGUGAAGAUAUCUCUUCAACAUAAUUUCAAGCCCUUAGGAUAUGUACCCCGAAGUGGGACUGCUGGAUCUAUAUGUACUUAUUAAAAGAUUUUAUUCAUUGGUAGGUAAUGAUACCAGAUACAUACAUAUUCAGUAAAUAAUAAAUACAACAAAUAUGUGUGGUAUAUAUGUCAUGUAGUCCUCAGGUCAUUCAGAUGAUUAAUGUUUUAUAAAGUCUUCAUGGGUCCUGGUAUGGUGCAUUAUAACAGAUCUCAGGAUCAUGUUGCUAGAGUUCACAACACAGUGAAACCCUGUCUCUGCUAAAAUACAAAGAAUUAGCUGAGUGUGGCAGCAUGUGCCUGUAGUCCCAGCUACUUGGGAGGCUGAGGCAAACGAAUUACUUGAACCCAGGAGGCAGAGGUUGCAGUGAGCUGAGAUCACCCCACUGCACUCCAGCCUGGGUGACAGAGUGAGACUCUGUGUCCAAAACAAGCCUUGUCUAUCGAUACAGUCACCCAGCAGCCUCACCUAAACUCUAAAAAACCUCAUUCACAAGCCACUCAAUGUCAACAGGUGAAGGCUAUUAACUGAUACUAGAGUUAUCAAUACUAAUGAUAAGCACAGCAAAUGGAACCAUGCAGCUCCUUAGAAGAUACUUAUGAACCACUUAAACUUAAGAACUAGGCUUUAGUGAGUUAAAAAUGCAGAGUAUGCCCUGCAAUACCAGUUCCCACUUGAGCAAGAAUUUGUUUGUUCUUAUCAUAGCCAACCAUCUUCUGGACUUUGAAUGGCCCCAAACCUAAUUUGGCGUUUGCACAGGACAAUAGGUACUUUGCAUGACAUGGCUGGGGAAUAACGCACAGCUGUUUCCCAUCUAGGCCACUUUGAUCUGUCACUGAGCCAAAUACCUGAGCCUGUCCCCAGCCAAACUACACCCCAGAGGAAUGAAGGAAAUAGAGCAGAAUUUUAGAAGUAGAGAUUUCAGUACUUUUUAAAUCAUGUUUUUAUUCAUCAGAUAUUUGUUGGAUGCUGUAGAUGUGUUCUCAGAUGCUCAUAUGCAUGAGAUUUGCCUAGGAGAGUCCCACUACCCAGAUAAACCUAACUUGGCAACUUAGUGUGGGGCCCGGGCAUCUAUGUUUAACCAGCCUCAUAGGUAAUUC
rnacentral:lncRNA from 1 species